rnacentral:snRNA from 1 species
UAGUGUUACAUCUCUUUUAGAAUUUGUCUAGCAGGCAUUCCAGUUUUUACUAGAAAGCCCCU